GCCGUCACUUUGAGAAUAAAGGUUUCCGGCCUGCCCCCUCACUGAGCACAGACCCUUAGUCCAGCAGUAAACUUCUCUGGAAGAAGACAACACAGGCAUAAAAAAUGAAUAAAAUUUGGAUAUUGUGCUUUGUGGUGCUGAUCAUAACCAUACCGUUUUCAACUCAGGUGAGCCCUGAUGAGAAGCGUACGGACCAAAGUGGCUCAGACACUGUUACUUCCACAAAUUCCAGCGCUGUAGGAUUGGGUCCAGUGCCAGCCACACUGUAUCUGCUGAUCCCAGCAGCCACCCUGUGCUUCAUCCACACACAGUAUAUGCUAAACUGAUGGGUGGAGAGUGUUUGCCAUAGAUGACCAAGAAUGAGACAGUGGCGAAAUGGACAGUCAUUCACCCAAAGAGCAAACUUUUCCACAGUUCAUGAAGAUAUAACCCUAUAUAACAACAGCUCGUUUUUUAAUGGACUUUUAACUAAUGAAAAUGAAUACAGACAUCUGCUGCAACCCUAUACAGAGGGUCCUCCAACUAAACCACACCCUUGGGCUCUUUGUAGUGUUUUGUCUCAAAGUCACUGUUUUAGGGCUCGCAUUCUCAAUGGCAACUACUCUCGGAAGUGUUUGUUUCUCAUAUAUGCUCAGCAUAUUUGAUUAUGGUCAAGCAGGUUAAAGAAGUCAAUUACUAAAUCAGUAAUCACUGCGCAUUUAAAAUAACAGCCCAAUUUCCAUUUCUAUGAUGAUAUUUAUGUGUAAAUUUUAUUAUAUGAAUGUGAUCAAUGUAAUCACUCUCAGAAUGUGUCUGUACUGUAUGCACAAUUAAAGUGGAUGAUUGUAUAUCUUGUAUGUCAUCUUUAAUUCAACUUGGUAUUAAUGUGUGUUCUCUUAACAAAGUUUUAGUAAUGCUUAGUAUGUAGAGUGGAAAAGAGGAGUAUAGACCGAAGUGUAUUUGAAAUUUUGAAAACAACUUCCUCAGAAGGCACUGUACAGAGGAUGUGAUCAUCCUCCUAAACUGGUAGGCAGGUGUUUAAACACGUCACACUUCAAUCACUGUAUAAAACACCCCUCCUGUCUCGCCUCGCUGAACACAGACUCUCUACCCCACAGAAAAGUUCUCUGGAAGAAGGCGGCGGCGGCGGCAUAAAAAUGAAUAAAAUAUUGAUAUUGUGCCUUGGGAUACUGCUUAUAACCAUACCCUUUUCAUCUCAGGAUAAAACAUCAAACAUGACCACGGUAAAAACUCCAACCACCACUCAAACAGUUCGUCCUUCGGCCAGCGACGCAGGAUUAGGUCUGUUACCCACCAUGCUGAGUCUUCUGAUCCCAGCAGCCAUUCUGGGCUUCAUCCACAGUAGAUCCUAAACUGGCUGGAGAAUGUUUAGAUGACCAAGAUGAACAAAGAUGAGCAGACAGUCACCUGAAGAGCCAACAUUUCCACAAUUCUUGAAGACAGAAGACACACAGAAAGAUGCCUUGUAAUUGAUUUUUUUUAAAGAAAAAAUGGGAAAUUUGCCACUGCGUACUGUACAGAGGGUCCUCCAAACCCCAACAAAACCACACAGUUGGGCUCUCAGUUGUUUUGUCGCCAUCAAGUCACUGUUUUAGAUAGGGCUCAUCACAACUUCUCUAUUAAGACUAUGAAUUUGACCACUGUAAUCCAUUUUCUCCAAAAUGUUUUUGUAAUUAUUGUGAUGAGCUAUUAAUUGUAAUAGUUAAGAAUGUGUCUAUAUGCACAAUUAAAGUGGAUGAUUGUA